UACGAGGGGGGCGAGCGUUUGUUCGGAAUUAUUGGGCGUAAAGGGUGCGUAGGCGGUUUGGUAAGUCUUGUGUGAAAUCUACAGGCUCAACUUGUAGUCUGCACGAGAAACUGCCGGGCUUGAGUGUGGGAGAGGUGAGUGGAAUUCCUGGUGUAGCGGUGAAAUGCGUAGAUAUCAGGAGGGACACCUGUGACGAAAGCGGCUCACUGGACCAUAACUGACGCUGAUGCACGAAAGCUAGGGGAGCAAACAGG
rnacentral:rRNA from 1 species